ACCCUUCUGAAUUAUUCUGCACGUGGCAGAGAAGGUACCAGUUCCAGAAGAGUCAGAACUGGACGGGAUCACAUAACUUUGUGCUGAUGGAGAAUGGAGGGAAGAUGUGGAAAGAAACAAAGAGGAUUUGGCUCUACAGAAUCCCAGUCCUGCUGAAUCCUCUCUUCUACAGUUAACCUACUGCAACCAUUCACAGAAAUACGUGUGAAGAGACAGUAAACCAGACUGCACCAGUACUUUCACCAGUGCCCAGACUUGCCCAGAGUCUGGGUGGAUUAGGAAGAGCUGCUAGAAGAAAUACAGAUUCAGCUGACAAUGCCUGCUGUGACUUGGGAUCAGCCAGUAGGAACUGAAGAAGGGCCUUUUUGAAGGUGUUCAAGUGGCAGACAAGAAGCAGGAAUAUGUAUUAAGCUGUUUCAGAGCAGUAUCAACUGAAAUAUGAUUUGAGAUUGGAACAAUAUAAUUACUAAUGUAGAAUCAGUGGGGAGACAGACUAUACAAAAUCUUUUUCUGGCUUUGCUGGUGUCUCCCUUCCAGGAAUAAGAACAUGUGUUUCUCUUGGUGUUCACACAAGAUUCCAUAUCAUGCUAAGAGCAGUCGGCAUUAUUCCCAGGCCAUGGAUGAACUGUUGUCAGGCCUUACAAUUAAAGCUCAGUAAGGCUGAGUUGGAGCUGAAAAAGAAGACCUUUGGAGAACACCAAGUUGCUGAGAAACAGUAGAAAAGUUGGAAAAUGACAGAACUGCUGUCUUUUGCAUGAGACAGAGCAUCACAGUUGCAGUCUCUUCCAACUAUUGUUCAGGAUAUUACCAUAGUGGUUUGAUGCUCUAUGCCAAAUACGUGAUCCCCGACAGCCAGGAAGGAAGGUCCACAAGAAACUCUGGGGGAAUCAGAGCUGUUCCUCUUUUUUAUGGCUUACCAGGAGAGGAUUUUUCUGUUGACAGGUUGGAGCUGUACCACACAACACAAUAUAGAUGUGCCUCAGUUCUCUCCAAAUUAACUGGUAACGCAUCCAAGUGAAGUACCAGGCUAAAGAAUCUACAUUGCUUGUAGCACAGAAACAGCUAUCUACUUCAGGUAUCUUUUUAUACUACUGUAUUGAUGUAUGUUAACUUAUGUGAUGAACAGUCAAGGUUGAGAUUUAUUGGUCUUGUGUUGGGGUCCACUGUUAAACUGAAGCUGUACCCCCUUUCAUGACUGAAAUUACUUCUGGGAUGAAAAGUCUCUACUACACAUCAGAAAAGUUUAUUUUGGAGGGACUGGAGUGGACUCUAACACAGCCUUCCCAGACAAAUAUUAUUGCAUGGCUACUUGUAUUUAUAUGAAGAUCUGUGCUACUUGGUGCUUUGUGACAAUCUCAAGAGAAAUGAUCAGUCUCAAUGAAGAAACAGAGAUGAGCCUCUGUGGAUACUCUGAGGUCACUCAAGCAGGAGUCUUCUCAUCUGCAAAGUGAGAGUACUUUCAGACAGGCAUUCCAGACAAAAGAAACUUUAAAACAUCACUGAAAAAAAUACUUUCUGGUAAACCACCUAUGAAAACAGUGCACAAAGUUAUUUAUGAAUUAUCCUUUCAUAAAAUUAAAACUAAAUUGGUAAAAUCUUGAGAAUCAGCAUUUUACCCUCAUACUCUGUGUGGGUAUUACCAAAACUGAGACCUCAAAACUACUCUUCCUCCUCUAAUAAAAUUCUUCAGGAAAAAAAAUAAUGGUUUCUAGAGUUCUGCUGCUUGUGAUAGAAGCAAUACUGUACAUUUUCACAUGCUUCCAAAGGAAGGCUAUGGUAACUGCGUGUCUGUGUGCAUUACUAAUAAGAAUUUUUAAGUGCUCAUUUUUAAGAAUUGCAUUCCAGUAGAUUGCUUACAGGAAACCUCAUUUAUGCACUGCUUCUUUUUUCCUAGGGAAAUGCAAAAUUAAGUUAUUAUUACAUUUUAUUGCGUACAAAAUUAGCUUGAUUACUAAAUUAAAAAGGAAUUCCAACAGAAACAGAUAUAACAAUAGUAUGGCAAAUAAAAUCCUUAUGGGUCUUUCUUAUCGUAUUUGGAAAAUGAAGAACAAUUAGCCACAUAUUAUAGUAGGACCUGUAUUGUUGGAUG